rnacentral:rRNA from 1 species
UACGAAGGGGGCUAGCGUUGCUCGGAUUUACUGGGCGUAAAGGGAGCGUAGGCGGAUAGUUAAGUCAGAGGUGAAAGCCCAGGGCUCAACCUUGGAAUUGCCUUUGAUACUGGCUAUCUUGAGUAUGGGAGAGGUAAGCGGAACUCCGAGUGUAGAGGUGAAAUUCGUAGAUAUUCGGAAGAACACCAGUGGCGAAGGCGACACACUGGGCCAUUACUGACGCUGAGGCGCGAAAGCGUGGGGAGCAAACAGG